GGUCCGCCAUGUUCUUCUCCGCGGCGCUCCUGGCCCGGGCGGCUGGCCUCACCGCCCACUGGGGAAGACAUGUAAGGAAUUUGCAUAAGACAGCUAUGCAAAAUGGAGCUGGAGGAGCUUUAUUUGUGCACAGAGAUACUCCUGAGAAUAACCCUGAUACUCCAUUUGAUUUCACACCAGAAAAUUAUAAGAGGAUAGAGGCAAUUGUAAAAAACUAUCCAGAAGGCCAUAAAGCAGCAGCUGUUCUUCCAGUCCUGGAUUUAGCCCAAAGGCAGAAUGGGUGGUUGCCUAUCUCUGCUAUGAACAAGGUUGCAGAAGUUUUACAAGUACCUCCAAUGAGAGUAUAUGAAGUAGCAACUUUUUAUACAAUGUAUAAUCGAAAGCCAGUUGGAAAGUAUCACAUUCAGGUCUGCACUACUACACCCUGCAUGCUUCGAAACUCUGACAGCAUACUGGAAGCCAUUCAGAAAAAGCUUGGAAUAAAGAUUGGGGAGACUACACCUGACAAACUUUUCACUCUUAUAGAAGUGGAAUGUUUAGGGGCCUGUGUGAACGCACCAAUGGUUCAAAUAAAUGACAAUUACUAUGAGGAUUUGACAGCUAAGGAUAUUGAAGAAAUUAUUGAUGAGCUCAAGGCUGGCAAAAUCCCAAAACCUGGGCCAAGGAGUGGACGCUUCUCUUGUGAGCCAGCUGGAGGUCUUACCUCUUUGACUGAACCACCCAAGGGACCUGGAUUUGGUGUACAAGCAGGCCUUUAAUUUAUAUUGAACUAUCCAGGAUGAGAAGACUGAUAAAAGAAGCUAGCUGAACAGCUAUAAAAUGCCCAAAUCUGGGUUCACAAAACCAGUUCAGAGUGAAAAUUCUGACAGUGACAGCAAUAUGGUAGAGAAACCAUAUGGAAGAAAGGUAUA
rnacentral:sRNA from 1 species